rnacentral:rRNA from 1 species
GACGAACGCUGGCGGCGUGCUUAACACAUGCAAGUCGAACGGAAAGGCCUCUUUCGGGGGGUACUCGAGUGGCGAACGGGUGAGUAACACGUGAGUAACCUGCCCUUGACUUUGGGAUAACUUCAGGAAACUGGGGCUAAUACCGGAUAGGAGCUCCUGCUGCAUGGUGGGGGUUGGAAAGUUUCGGCGGUUGGGGAUGGACUCGCGGCUUAUCAGCUUGUUGGUGGGGUAGUGGCUUACCAAGGCUUUGACGGGUAGCCGGCCUGAGAGGGUGACCGGCCACAUUGGGACUGAGAUACGGCCCAGACUCCUACGGGGGGCAGCAGUGGGGAAUAUUGCACAAUGGGUGGAAGCCUGAUGCAGCAACGCCGUGUGCGGGAGGACGGCCUUCGGGUUGUAAACCGCUUUCGCUCAUGACGAAGCUUUGUGUGACGGUAGUGGGUAAAGAAGCACCGGCUAACUACGUG